rnacentral:misc_RNA from 1 species
CCGAGUUUGCAACUCCCAAACCCAUGUGAACAUACCUACUGUUGCUUCGGCGGGAUUGCCCCGGGCGCCUCGUGUGCCCCGGAUCAGGCGCCCGCCCUAGGAAACUUAACUCUUGUUUUAUUUUGGAAUCUUCUGAGUAGUUUUUACAAAUAAAUAA